rnacentral:rRNA from 1 species
CUGUCUCAAAGAUUAGCCAUGCAUGUCUCAGUACAAGCCGAAUUAAGGUGAAACCGCGAAAGGCUCAUUAAAUCAUUAUGGUUCCUUAGAUCGUACCCACAUUUACUUGGAUAACUGUGGUAAUUCUAGAGCUAAUACAUGCAAACAGAGCUCCAACCGGAAACGGAAGGAGCGCUUUUAUUAGAUCAAAACCAAUAGGUGGCGGUCUCCGUCAUCGUACAACUUGGUGACUCUGAAUAACUUUACGCUGAUCGCACGGUCUCGCACCGGCGACGCAUCUUUCAAAUGUCUGCCUUAUCAACUGUCGAUGGUAGGUUCUGCGCCUACCAUGGUUGUAACGGGUAACGGGGAAUCAGGGUUCGAUUCCGGAGAGGGAGCCUGAGAAACGGCUACCACAUCCAAGGAAGGCAGCAGGCGCGCAAAUUACCCACUCCCGGCACGGGGAGGUAGUGACGAAAAAUAACGAUACGGGACUCAUCCGAGGCCCCGUAAUCGGAAUGAGUACACUCUAAACCCUUUAACGAGGAUCAAUUGGAGGGCAAGUCUGGUGCCAGCAGCCGCGGUAAUUCCAGCUCCAAUAGCGUAUAUUAAAGUUGUUGCGGUUAAAAAGCUCGUAGUCGAAUCUGUGUCCCGCGCCGCCGGUUCAUCGUUCGCGGUGUUAACUGGCGUGCCGCGGGACGUCCUGCCGGUGGGCUUAGCUCGAGAGGGCGGCCCAACUCAAUCCCGCCGCGGUGCUCUUCAUUGAGUGUCGAGGUGGGCCGGCACGUUUACUUUGAACAAAUUAGAGUGCUUAAAGCAGGCUAAAACUUCGCCUGAAUACUGUGUGCAUGGAAUAAUGGAAUAGGACCUCGGUUCUAUUUUGUUGGUUUUCGGAACCCCGAGGUAAUGAUUAAUAGGAACGGAUGGGGGCAUUCGUAUUGCGACGUUAGAGUGAAAUUCUUGGAUC